CAAAAUAAAGCUUAAAGUAAGUGUUUCAUUUACAUUGAAGGGAUUCUGUGCAAUUCAGGUUAUUUUGA
rnacentral:tRNA from 1 species